ensembl:snRNA
GUAUUGUAUGCUAAGCAAGGGAGUUAGCACUUCCCUUAGGAUGGAAAAAUUUCUAUGACUUAUAAAACACACAUAUGGUUAAGGAAUUGCUACCUACUUCAUGUCUUUUAUCCAUGAUUUUUA